rnacentral:rRNA from 1 species
UACGGGGGGGGCAAGCGUUGUUCGGAAUUACUGGGCGUAAAGGGCUCGUAGGCGGCCAACUAAGUCAGACGUGAAAUCCCUCGGCUUAACCGGGGAACUGCGUCUGAUACUGGAUGGCUUGAGUUCGGGAGGGGGAUGUGGAAUUCCAGGUGUAGCGGUGAAAUGCGUAGAUGAUCUGGAGGAACACCGGUGGCGAAGGCGGCAUCCUGGACCGACACUGGACGCUGAUGAGCGAAAGCGU